rnacentral:lncRNA from 1 species
CAGAUGCCUACAAGGAGUUUAACGAUACGUUCCAGAAGCAGAUGUCGAUGCUUUAUGGGCAUAUCGAGGGCUACAAAGGUGUGAUAAUCAAAGAGCUGCGCUCAGGCAGCAUCGUGGUGGACUAUGACGUCAUCCUGGAGCUCCCCGCCAGCUCCAAGGUCAACGAGACGGUGAAGAGCAUCUCCGAGAACCUCGUCACUGCCAUCCAAAACCACGGCUGUGACGAGAACUGCACAGGGGACGACUGUGUCUGCUUCAACAGCAACUUCACCGUUGUCCACAAAGUUGAGGUGCAAGAGGUGGAAGAACGUAAGUUUGGGUGUUUGGGUGUCUCCAACGGGGUGUUUGGGUGUCUCCAACCCCUCUGGAGAACCCCAAAACCUGAGGUCUGCGUCUCCACCCUCAGGUGUGUGCGACACCUACAUCCAGGAGGAGUUCAGAGUCUUCUACACGCCGUACCUGACCAAGGUCGGCGUCAUCUGCAUCACCCGCUGCGACUCGCGCCACGCCGACCCGCUGCCCUGCGUCCAUGGCAGAUGUUCCGUCAGCCGGGAGGGGCCGCAGUGCGAGUGCUCGGACCAGGUCGCCUUCUGGUACCAGGACAACGCCUGCAGCUCCCGCAUCAGCAAGGUUGGGGUGUCCGUGGGCGUUCCGGUGGCCGUCCUGGUCCUGGUCAGCACCAUCUUCACCAUCCUCCUGCUGAGAUCUCGGAGGCAGAAGGAUCAGUACAGGUAGAUGCGUCACCUUGGGGUGGGCUGGGUGGUCCCGUGGGGGUCCCGAGUCUCAUCCCUGUGGGUCCCACCACGCAGGAAGAAGCUGAAGUCCCGCUCGGAGAUGUACACCAGCGAUGACGGGAACUGGGACGGAUCUCAAGGCUUUGCCAUGGGCAACCUGGCGGCCACCUGGGAAGGUAACGGGCGCGGAGGUGGGGAUGGGCGUGGGGAUGGGUUGGAGGUCGCUGUGGCACCCAGGGGUCCAUGGCACCUCUUCUUCCACCCCACAGACAUGGAGACCCCCAACACCAGCUACAUCAACCUGGAGAACGUGGACACCUCGAGGACGGUGGGUGACACAUCCCCAGGAGCCUGAUGUUGUCCUCUUUCCCCACACCACCAUCAUCAUCCUCCUCUCUCCUUCCUCCCCAGAUACACAUCCAGAGACCGACCAUAGUCCCCUGAGCGAAGCCACCUGAGAACCAGCGGAGACAGGACACGGGGCCACCAGGAUGUGGAGGAGGGGACACAUGGACAGGAGAGCGAUGAGAAUCAGGAGAUCCACCAUCCCCUUCCUCACCACGCAGAUGUUUGCACACAGAA